rnacentral:rRNA from 1 species
CCGGACGAACGGGUGCGUAACACGUGAGCAACCUGCCUUUGGUGGUGGGGGAGUACGCCGGGCUAACGCCCGGGUAAUACCGCAUACGGUCGCUGGGGGGAGUCCCUCGGCGAAGAAACCUCCGGGGCACAGAGAGGGGCUCGCGGCCUAUCAGCUAGUUGGCGGGGUAAUGGCCCACCAAGGCGACGACGGGUAGCUGGUCUGAGAGGAUGGCCAGCCACAUUGGGACUGAGAGACGGCCCAG